CCUACGGGAGGCAGCAGUGGGGAAUUUUGCGCAAUGCUCGUAAGAGUGACGCAGCGACGCCGCGUGAAUGACGAAGGCCUUCGGGACGUAAAGCUCUUUCGACAGGGAAGAAAAUGCCUAUAAGUAACUGUGUAUGUAUUGACGGUACCUGUAUAAGCAGCCCCGGCUAACUCCGUGCCAGCAGCCGCGGUAAUACGGAGGGGUCGAGCGUUGGUCGGAGUGACUGGGCGUAAAGAGCACGUAGGCGGUGUUGUAAGUCAAUAGUCAAAGACUAGAGCUCAACUUUAGUAAGGCUAGUGAUACUAUAAUACUAGAGUAUCAGAGAGGAAUGCAGAAUUCCUGGUGUAGCGGUGAAAUGCGUAGAUAUCAGGAGGAAUACCGUUAGCGAAGGCGGCAAUCUGGCUGGAAACUGACGCUGAGGUGCGAAAGCGUGGGUAGCAAACAGGAUUAGAUACCCGGGUAGUC
rnacentral:rRNA from 1 species